rnacentral:rRNA from 1 species
UGGGGAAUAUUGGACAAUGGGGGGAACCCUGAUCCAGCCAUGCCGCGUGUGUGAAGAAGGCCUUAUGGUUGUAAAGCACUUUAAGCGAGGAGGAGGGUACUGGUAUUAAUACUACCAGGUACUGGACGUUACUCGCAGAAUAAGCACCGGCUAACUCUGUGCCAGCAGCCGCGGUAAUACAGAGGGUGCGAGCGUUAAUCGGAUUUACUGGGCGUAAAGCGUGCGUAGGUGGUUCGUUAAGUUGAAUGUGAAAGCCCCGGGCUCAACCUGGGAACUGCAUCCAAAACUGGCGAGCUAGAGUAGGGCAGAGGGUGGUGGAAUUUCCGGUGUAGCGGUGAAAUGCGUAGAUAUAGGAAGGAACACCAGUGGCGAAGGCGACCACCUGGGCUCAUACUGACACUGAGGUGCGAAAGCGUGGGGAGCAAACAGG